AACUCGUAAUAUGUGCUUUAAGCAAGAUUCAUUGACUCGAAGUCGUCUCUCUCCCCCCCUUUUUCUACUUCAUAAAUUGGCAAGUAUUACAAACCACAGAACUGGCGGAUGGAUCGUGGAAUUUUCCUUCAUGACUAAUUGUACAAACCACCAAGAGACGGGGAAUUGUUCGAUAAAUAUUACAACCCACAAACAUUCAUUCAAUUGCAAAUUCUCCAACCACCAUUCUCUGCUUAUGCUGUUAAGGAACAUCCGGCCGACAAAGAAAAUACUCGGGCCAAGGUAAUUUAUGUCAAGUUUUGAUCACAUUUAGGCAUGCCUAUUGAAUAUUUAUUUGUUCCGGAUAAAAACAAAUAAUAAAUAACAUAGUUAGAUAGCUUGUCGAUUUGCCUCAAGUUUUUGAAAUCACUUGAUUAACUGAUAAACUACCUCCAAGUUAUAUUGCCAAGAUUAAUUCAUCCGUUUAUUCAAUACUAUAUCGAUGUGUGUGUAUGCGUGUUCAGAGUCAAUUCAAUCACAAUAAACUUUAUAGAUGGAUAUUUCUCGACCCUCAAUGAUCAAAUAUUUCCUUUCUUUUUCAUAACACGCACCACCACGAACUUACUUUUUUAUUUUCUCUCCUGGGUGUUAAUUCUAAAUGUUGAAUUCUUUGUACUCAUUCCUUUUUCGUUCAAAUUCGACUAGGUUUUACCAACAAUAGUCAAUAUCUCAAUUUGUGAUGAUUCUACCUAAAUUUAAGUGUCUCAACCUCAAAACUUCGUCUAAACGGUUACCUUCACCUGAAGUCCAAAUCCACAAGUAAAUAUGCAAAGCUAAAUAGAGAGCAGAAGUAGUAUUUAUAAUUGUAUUCCCAUUGAUUGAACAUACUUUGGUGUGUUUUUAUUUUCAUUGUGUCCCCUCUUGGUAUUUGGAUCUUUUCAAUAGUCUCGAUGGUAGUUACACUCUAUAUUGCAAGUAACCUUCUUUUUUUUUAUAUAGAUAAUGUAACGACCCAAAUUUCAAUAUUUAGAUCAUUACAAAAGUUCAUUCCAUAAUUAAAUAAAUUAAAUCAAGCAUCCCAACAUGAAAAAUUUUCUAGUUCUAUCUAUAAAAUAAAUAAAACAUAUAGAAGACAUAGUUAACUGAAACAUAUCCCAAAUCUCAAAAUUGCAAAUUUCACAUGAAAAUAAAACUAAUAUAACGCUGAAAAUAAAAGUUUAUAGUCAUGUUACUCCGAAUUUAUUUAUUUUGAAUUCCAUAAUUUCUAGCCUCGGUACAAUGCCUUUUAUUUUAUCGAGAUAAGUAAUUAGGAUCAAAACUCUUUGUACGUGAGCAUUGUCGAGAUUCCACUUGUUAUUCAAAAUACUCCACAUAAUAUGCUAAUGGACGGAAUCAAAACAUCUAUUGGGAGCUUCACAUUGGUUCAACCCACCCCAAAUUAUCCUUUCAAAUAUUUUUGAAAUUGAAUUUAUGGUUUAGGUUUUGAAUAACCUAUAUUCAAGAUUUUUCAACUUAUUCUAUUCAAGUAACUACUUUAAAAAUAUAAGAUGAUUAAACAUAACUAUCUUUUUCAAAAAGGUAUCAAGUCCAAUUAAAAUAAAUUUCAAAAUAAUCAUUGUUUCAUAACAUACUAAUAAUUCAUAAACUACAAGUAAUUCCAAUAAUAUCAACAAUAGCUAGCAAAGCUAUUCAAAUCACACAAGCACAUAACAAAGAAAUGAUAUAUUUAUGAAAAUUUAAAAGUUUUCAAUUUUAUUGUGGUUUUUUAAAAAAUAUAUAAAGCUAUAAUAACAUGCGAGCAUGCAAAAAAUAAAACAUCAAUUACCAUAGAUAUUUUCAUUAUAACCACCCUAAACUUAAAUUGUACAUUGCUCUCAACGUAUACAAUCAUAAAGCACAAGUCAUUAAUAACAAAAGAGGGACAUAAGACUCGCUAGAGGGGUAUUGGAUGGCGGAGGCAAGAUGUUGAAUCACUCAAUUGCAUUCUUUAGUGUAUUUCGUGCUUGUUGUUUGAAUCUCAUUUUACAUACAAUAUAAGAUUAAGAUCAUAUAUUAUAGAGGAAUACACGAGAUAUAAGUCUAAUGCAUACCAUACUUGACAACUGAUACCAAUAUGUGCUAAGAUAUGUAUGAAUGUGAGAAAACGGAAUAUAAGAGUCAAAACAAGGUGUGCAAACCAAAAUGUGGUGUAUAUGCAAAGAUGACUAUAGGAAUAACAAAAAAUUGUAGCAACAAGAUGAAGAAACUAGAAAGUUGUCAAGAACAAAUUCGAAGGCUUGAACAUGGGAUCGCUGUCCUCAAACGAUAUUUGUUCCCUCUCAAAAUUGAAUGAGUUACUUGAGGGUCUUGGCAAACGGUUUGUAGGAUUACAUUAAGCCUUGUAAAUGAUUUAACACUAAAGUACAAGUGCAAUCCUCCUAAACUUUAAUAAUAUAAAGGAAGAUAUUAAAUAUGAAUGUAAAUUAAUAGUUUGAUUGAAUGUGGAAUGAUAUGUGGAUCUCAAGAUGUUUUUCAAUGUUUCGAAUGUGUUUGUGAAAUAACGUAGUUUAACCCUAUCAACACAUAGAGGGGGUGAAUGGGUGUUUAUGCAGAAUUUUUACCAAUUAAUUAAUAAAUACAAUAAGUCACAAAUAUUAAUUUGUCCAAAUCAAUUCACCUGCUUUACUAUCCUAUGUUGAAAUACCGAAAACAAGUAAAUUGCAAGAAUUGUAAAUUACACAAUUAUUUGAUGACAGAGAAACCCCAAUGUGGGUAAAACUUCGGGCCCAAACUAGUACGAAUCUACUAUAAAUGAAUAAAUCACGUACAAUCUAUUAGACUCAACCCACACUAGUUUUUCUGACCUCCUUAUUGUAGUAUUUCUCAAAAGCUCCCCUGGAAUCCGUGAUCCUGCACCAACUCCCAGCUUCUAGCCCUCCUGGAUUAAUGCUACAUCAAUUCUCGGCUCUUGAUUUCAUCUAUCUCCUAUGGAAUCAAGAGAACUCCUCGUUCUCUAAUGAUCGAAACCUUGAUCUCUUUCCCUGAUCUUCAAGAUUCAAAAAUGCUCUAAAAGGAUGUGUUACAGUGUUUGGUAAAGGUAGUUUUGAUGUUUGUAAGUGAUUGCACUGACCGAAUGUGAGAUUGAGAGGAAGAUUCAAGAUGUAGAGAAUUUUCUUCAAGUUCAAUCCUUAAGAAACGUCUGAAAAGCAGUGCAACACAAUUUAUAUGAAAUGUUUUGAAUCAUAUGGGUCGGGUCAAGAUCUCGAAAAAGGCAAAAUAGGGUUCUCUAGGUAAUACUAUCACUCGAGCGAAAAGUGAGUGACACUGUUUCACUCGAGGGAAGUAGGGACGAAAAGCGAGCGAGAAGCUCUUUGCUUUUGACGCUCGAGCGACCACUUGGCAAGCAACUAGCGAAACUUCAUCGAUACAUCUUGCCUUACUUCACAACUCGAACCCUAACAUAUUUUGGCAAAAUUGCAACUUAGCCCCCCAUUUUACACACAUGCACAAAUUGACCCCUAACUUUUAAACAUUGACAAAUUGACCCCGAACUUUUGUACAAUUACAAUUUGACCUUUUUUUCAUAGAAUUGCCAACUCAAAAUCUAACAAACUCCUCAUUCGACAUUCUAUGACAAAACAAUAUUACGUCAAUAUGAACUUCAAUGACGACCCAAAAUAACUAACUCAACUGAUUGUUGUCUUGUCUUCUUUCAACCUAUUUCCUGAGAUCACAACUCACAUACCAAUUGUAAAAGCACGAGAAACAGUUAUAUAAGUUAAAGUAGUAAAGACAAAACAGUUAUGAAUAGCCAUAAUAUAAUACCAAUAAGCUAGAUUAAGAUUCAAUAUCAAUGUAAGUCAAAACACCAAAAAUAUACAUCAAUAUUGCAAAACAUCAAAACUUAAUCUGGCAAAAGUAGUGUAUCAAUCAUCACAAAUCCCAAAAAAUACAACGGUUACUUCCCCCUUUUUUGUCAUUUGUGACAAAGGGAUCCCUAAGCAACUAUGCAUCACCACCAUCAUCGUCGUCCAUGUUAUCAGAAUAAUCGACAUCUGUUUCAUAGUGCCAAUACUCGCGCAACCACUGAAUACCCCACUGGACAUAAGCAAUAGUACCCCCCAGUGUAUCAAACUCUGUAGUAUGGCACUCGGACCUAGCUCGCAACUGAGUAAUCUUGACCAUCAUGCGGGCCUGCUGCUCAAUCAAAAUCGACAUCUAACCCAUAAGUGCCACAAAAGGGUCGUAGUAGCCGAAGCAGGCUGAGCGGGUGGUGGAACAGAAGUUAGCGAAGAAGGAAUAUCACUAGCUGACGUAGGGAUAUCAGAAUGAGACGGAGGAAUAGCAGAUAAAUCAACAAGAAGGUCACCUACGGGAUCAGCUGGCACCGUCGGGUCAACAAGCACAGCUGGCUCAAUAGGAGCAGAAGCAGAAGAUGCACCAUGUGACCGACUCUAAGAGAUGGUAGUAUGGCCUAUGGGAUGAAGAGCCCAUUGGGACACCCCAUCAGGAAACAAAGCCCCAAGGGAUGUCACCAAACAAUAGAUCAAGCAAGCAUAUGGAAGACAGAUCCUAUAACCUGGUACCUUGAAUGUGUGCAAAAUGUGCUGACAGAUGAAGGUGGGAAGGUCAAUGGAAUCACCAUACAAUAGGGCAUAAAGAAAUCGAGCCUUCUCCAUAGGCAAUGAAGAAGUAUGUUACAUCGGCCAUAGAUUUUGCACACAAUAAGCAACAAGGAAGGAAUCCAGUGCAGAUCGCCUACGGUCCACCACCCAAAGGACUGUUAAACAAUGUGGACCAAACAAGAGAGUCGACAGGGAGUUUUAUCGAUCGACAAAUACGGGUAAACGGGAUGAAUAACUCGAGGAAUAUGAAUAAUGCUAGAAAUAAUAUCUGGUGUGAUCCUAAUCGUCUGACCCCUAAGAAGCACCCCAAAAGACAACUCGCUAACAUCAUGAAUGUUCACAUAAAAUUCUUGAACUAGGAGACCAGAUGGGGGGUUCAAACCUAUCAACAAGGACUCCCAACCCCGUGAGGUGAAUAUGGCUGCUAGGUCAAAUGGUAGGUCAGAUAGAGUGACCUCACGCUCUACUAGGACCGAACGUAAAGAAAACUGACUCCCAAAUACCUCCUGAGCAGUAAAGGAGAUAAACUAAGACCUACUGUAUGAUGUCGACCCAAUAGCAGGCUGAGCAGCAGUCUUAGCCCUCUGGAAUACAAGCUGCAGAAGGUAAUGUCAAGACUCAAAGAUUACACAAUAAUAAAUACGCGAGAAUGGAUGUGCGACAACACCCAACCAUAAAUCGUCGCGCAAAACAAUGUAAGAAAGUGCUAAGUGAUGAACAAAGAAUGCAAAUGGAUACAAAUCGAGGCACAAAUGUAGCAAACAUGCAAGACCAAAUAAAAUAAAGCAAAACACAUAUGGAUGUCAAUAGAUGCAGCCGCAAGACAACAAUGUAUGGAUACAGAUGACAUGACCUAGAUGUAAGGAACACGCAGCAGGACGAAGGGAACAUAUUGCAAGUCAUGAGGCCGACACUAAACCUAACAAGUACAUGCCCAGAGUAAUAACCGAAGGACAUAAAAAUGGCCAAUACACCACUUGCAAUUGAUGGAUACAAAAAAAAAUGUCAAAUGGUGAAGUCCAGUAUGAGAGAAGCAUAACAUCGAACACGUUGCAGGCAUGAGUGAAACAAAGAAAACCAGCUUCAAACACAACACCCCAUUGUAUAACUAGCAUCCCUCAUCACACCCUAGUACCGCAGCAUCUAGAACACACUUAAUCACAUUCACAAAUUUUCCAAAACCUCGACACAAAGUAAAGGUAAAGUGCAUGAGUUAUGCAAAGACAAUUCAAGUGCAAAUGAAGUGGAUAAUGAUGUACAGCAAGGAAUCAUAUAUCCCACACAACCAGUAUGCAAUGCAAAAGUGUUAAUUGUGCCAAAAAAUAAGUGGAAACCGAAAAAGCCCGAAUUGAGUUUAAACUAGGGUUCGUGAAAAACGUACCCAAAUUUGAGGAAAAAAUGAGAUGUAAAUGUGAAAUGAUGCUGUGGGGACUAGCUAACUCCAGGAAUCGAAGCAAUACAGUGUCAAGAAUAUCGCAGGUGAGAGAAAAUGGAGAGGACAAGAGGAAAAAAUGAAAAAAAAAUGAACUUGAAGUAUUUCGUGAGAAAAGAAAUAGUCUCGCUGUCGCUUGAGCGAGACUCGAGCAAAACACAAUCUGGUAUUAUCGCUCGAGCGAGGUGUUAACAACAAGUGAGCAAAGAGUAAAUGUCAAAAAUAGCACUCAAGCAUGAAAUUUCAGCAAUGAAGCACCAGUUUGAAAAUUUUGCAAUUUAGCACUACUUUAGAAACUUUGAAAACUAAUACCUUUUAAAACUUUGAAUUUUGACACCCCUUUUUUUAAAUACAACCAAAAAGACACUCAUUAUGACAUGGAAGUCUACCAGAAAAUAGAAAUAAUCACAAACAAAACAUGCUCAAUGAUUAGACAUGCUUCUCCACCCAUCGAGAUCAAGUUUGGAUGGAGUAAAUUGUAUACAUGACCCAUUUGAAAAAUGCCACUAAUCCCAUGCAAGUAAAACUCAAAACCUUAAAUUUGUGAGAAGGGACAAUUAAAUCACUGCAGUAUGAGUCUAUUCCCAAAUGUGUGAAGGUCAAAUCCAAUGUCACUAGGACCAUAAUUCAACGGAAUGCAGUGUAUAAUGAUCUUUCUCCCCCUGUCUAUAAGCACCCAUUUUUUUAAACUCUUAAGUGCAAGCUCAUCCUCAUUAAUCUAUUAAGAAGACCCUUGUAAUGAGCUUUGGGCCGGUGUCUCCCAAACUAGUUGGCUUUAGGGCACUAGGUAACGAAAAAUCCCUCAGACUUAAUUGCUCAAUCAACUUGGCUACAAAGAUGGGUAUAAGAUAUAGCUCAAUAAAAAAUAUUUUCUGGACCGUCUUGGGAAAAACACCAGAAUUUAGGUCAUCUAGUCCAAGAUCAAUUCAAACUCAAGGUCAACUCAUCAACAGAUGAUAGUCAUCCCAAAUCUCACAUAUGCGGUCAAGACUCACUCACAAGGUCCUGGUGUGUGCUGUACAGAUAAAAUAUGAAGUGACAUAUACGAAGUACUCCACACAUACUCAAUUUAUGUGAUGGGAAUUAGUAGCUAAUCAUAUGUUGAAUGUAUAUUUGAUAACAAGUUACAAGUCGAAGUAAACAACUACAACGCAAUAUUAUUAUUUUUUUUUUAUCAUAAAUAUAUGAAAUUUAAAAGAGAUGAAAAAUGAAAGGUAGAUGCAGAUCAAAAUAAACAUGCAAUACAAUGAAUGCAAAAAUGAACUAAUGAGCUAAACCAGACACGUAUGUACUUAUGAAGGUGAUCAAGGAUGAACACAAAUGCCGACAGCCUUUCUAAGUGACUUGAACCUCGGACCAUCCAGAGGUUUAGUGAACAAUUCAACAAGUUGAUUUUCAGUAGAAGUAUGUUCUAGGGAUACCACGUUGGACUCAACUAGCUCACGAAUGAAGUGAUAACGAAUAUCAAUAUGUUUGGUCCUGGAAUGCUGAACGGGAUUUUUAGAGAUGUUGAUAGCACUGGUGUUAUCACAGAAUACAGUCACGGUACCCUGAUUUAUCUCAUAAUCACUCAGCAUUUGCUUCAUCCAAAGCAGUUGAGUGCAACAACUACUAGUUCCAAUGUAUUCUGCAUCAGUUGUGGACAGAGAGAUUGAGUUUUGUUUCUUACUCAUCCAUGACACAAGAUUAGACCUAACAUAGAAACAUCCACCCAAGGUACUCUUUCUAUCAUCGGCAUUUUCAGCCCAAUCGGCAUCAGAAUACCCAGCGAGUUCAAGAUUGGACUCUCUAGAGUACAAGAUCCCAUGAUUUAGAGUCCCAUUAACAUACUUAAUGAUACUGCUCACUGCACUCAAAUGGGAUUCCAUAGGGUCUGUCUGAAAUCUUGCACAUACUCAAACACUGAAUGCUAUGUCAGGCCUACUGGCUGUAAGAUAGAGUAAGCUACCUAUCAUACUCAUAUACAAUGUCUGAUCAACACUGCUACCUGUAGGAUCAUGACCUAACUUACCACUCGGGCUCAUGGAUGUCCUUAUAUGUUUUUUAAUGUCCAGUCCAAAUCUCUUUACUAGGUCUUUGGCAUAUUUUGAUUGAGAAAUAAACAACUCACGUUCAGUUUGCUUCUCUUUUCACAAAUCCUAGACCUUGUCUAUUCCCAGCUGGUUUGUUCAUUCCUAACAAGUCGUCCAGUUUCUUAGACCCACUCAUGAAAGAUUGCAGUUGAGUAUUAGAUUUCUCUAACUCACAAGUCAUUGUCUUAACCUUGUCCUCUAGCUUCUCAUUAACACACUUCAAUUCACUAAGGCUUUUAGAAGAGUCCUGAAGAUCACUCGUAAGCCUCUCUUUUUCUCUCUUAAGUUCGUCUACCUUCUUAAACAAGACUUUAUUUACCUUCUUGAUUUUAGGACUCUCCUUAAAUAAAAGUUGAUAAGCCUCUUGUAUAUCAGUCUCAUCCUCAGUAUCGUCACUAGAGUUCUCACUAUGUAUUUUUUCCUCAACCUUAUCAGACUCACUCUUAACUGUAGACACAAAAGCCAUAUAACCUUUUCCAUCUUCACUCCUAGAAGAAUCACCUUGAUCACUCAAGUUCGUUUCAUCAUCAGUCAAUGACACAGCUAAUGCCUUUUACUCUUCUCCUUUUUCAAAUUUUUCUUAAAACUAGGGCAUUCAUUCUUAUAAUAACCAAAUCCCUGACAUUCAUGGAAUCUAACUGCCUGAGAUUUUUCACUAGAGUUUCUAGCAAUCGGUUUAUCACUUUUAUCUUUUUGGAAUUUACUAAGGGCUCCUCUCUUUUUCUCUUAGGGUCAUCUCUUGCCCUUUAACGUUUUCUGGAACUUCUUGGUAAAGUAAGAUAUCUCCUCAUCUCUACGGGUUUCUAUUUCAGAUGACUCAAACUCUUCUUCUUUAACUGUGUUCAACGCUAUGGACUUUUUUUCCUUAGGUUGUGAGAUGGUGAGUUCAUAGGUUUAAAGGUAUCCUACUAGUUCUUCUAUCUUAACCGUAACUAGGUCCUUGCUUUCUUUGAUAGCUGUAACUUUAGGUCUAAAUCUCUCAGGCAAAGACCUAAGCACUUUUCUCACAGUUUUUGACUUAAGAAUCCUCUCACCUAGGUUGAAACUAGAGUUUACAAUAUCAUUCAAUUUUGCAUAAAACUCAACAAACGAUUCAUCAUCCUUCAUCCGGAUUUCUUCAAACCUAGAUGCUAGCAUUUGCAGUUUUGAAUUUUUUUAUGGUUUUAGUUCCGUCAUAAGUCGUCUCUAGAAUGUCUCAUACCUCUUUAGCAGUUUCGCACAUUGAUACUCUCCUAAACUCUUCGAGAGACACAACCAUAAACAAAGCAUGAAGACCUUUACUAUUCCAGUUGCAAUCAGCUAAUUCCUCUUUAGUCCAAAGUGAAAUAUCAGUUAGAUUGACAACACCUGACACAGUUGUGGAUGGAGGUUUCGAACCAUUUUGCACACUCACCCAAACAUAUUCAUCUAGGGACUUAAGAAAUACAUGCAUCCUAACCUUCCAGUAUGCACAGUUACUUCCGUCAAAAUACGGAGACACAGACACUGAUUGACUCAUCUAGACAACAAUGGGUCAGGUUUCAAGUUUAGGCUCUGAUACCACUUGAAAUAACGUAGUUUGACCCAAUCAACACCUAGAGGAGGGUGAAUAGAUGUUCAUGUAGAAUUUUUACCAAUUAAUUAAUAAAUGCAGCAACUCACAAAUAUUAAUUUGUCCAUCAAUUCACAUGCUUUACUAUCCUAUGUUGAAAUAUCAAAAACAAGUUAAUUGCAAGAAUUGUAAAGUCCACAAUUAUUUGAUGGCGGAGAAACCGCAAUGUGGGUAAAACUCCGGGCCUAAGCAAAUAUGAAUCCACUAUAGACGAAUAAAUCAUUACAAUCCGUCAGACUCAAUCUACACUAGUUUUUUCUGACCUCCUGAUUGUAGUAUUUCUUAAAGCUCUCUUCGAAUGCGUGAUCCUGCACCAAUUCUCGACUUCUAGCCCUCCUGGAUUACGUGCCACACCAAUUCCUGGCUCUUGAUUUCAUCUAUCUCCCGUGGAUUCAAGAGAACUCCCCGUUCUCUAAUGAUCGAAACCCCGAUCUCCUUCCCUAAUCUUCAAGAUUCAAUAAAUGCUCUAGAAGUAUGUGUUACAGUGUUUGAUAAAGGUAGUUUUGAUGUUUUUAAGUGACUGCACUAAUCGAAUGUAGGAUUGAGAGGAAGAUUAAAGAUGUAGAGAAUUUUAUUUAAGUUCAAUCCUUAAAAAAGUCUGAAAAGCGACGCAAUACAAUUUACAUGAGAUGUUUUGGGUCAUAUGGGCCGGGUCAAGAUCUCGAAAAAGGCAAAAUAGAGUUCUUCAGGUAACAUUGUUGCUUGAGGAAAAAGCGAGGUGGGGUGAAAAGCAAGUGAGAGGCUCUUUUCUUUCGACGCUCGAGCAACCACUUGGCGAGCAGCUAGCGAAACUUCAAUGAUACAUCUUGCCAUACUUCACAACUCGAAUCCUAACAUACUUUGACAAAAUUGUAACUUAGUCCCCCAUCUUUCACACAUGUACAAAUUGACCCCCUAACUUUUAAACAUUGACAAAUUGACCCCAAACUUUAGAACCAUAACAAUUUGACCCUUUUGUUCACAGAAUUGCCAACUCAAAAUCUAAUAGUUUGUAUUGAUCAUUCAUCACCUAUAUAGGUCUCAAUCAAUAAACCACAAAAUGCUGUCAAAAAUAUGAUGAAAAAUGACAACUUUUAAUCCAAAACGGUUCCCAAGUUUCAAAUUGAAAAAUCAGCCAUCGACUAUUUUUUAACACUAUGUGUACGCAUAUUAAAAGCAAAUUUGAUUCUGUUUUGGCCAAAACACAUCUCUUAUAUGCACAAAAAUAAGCCUUUGCAUACGCAUAGGCAAAAAUCAAAUUUUCCAUUUUCAAUUUCUUUUGAUUUCACUAAUUCCACAAUUGUGCCUAACAAUUAGCCCUUUAUUAUUCCAUUAAUUUUGAACAAAUAUUCAACAGUUGUUCUAAAGAGCUAGCUCUCCAAAGAUGGAAGAAUUGCGUGAAAUUGCGAGAGUGCACUAUAGAGCUGGCUCUCCAGAGGUUCAAGCCCUGGCAUAUGAAUUCUUCAAAUCACUUGACAUGAAUGGUGAUGGACGUGUUCAGCUGCACGAGUUCUUGGCAUUCAUGAGACAGGAAGGCCACUCACGUAUGUACAAUACUUACUUUUUUCACGAGCUUGAUCGUGAUCACAAUGGCACUCUAGAUUUCGGGGAGGUGAUGACACUUUACUACAUAAUUAAAAGUGGAAGGCCGUUUUGUGACUGGUGUGGACAAUUUAUUGGUAGGAAUAUUUUUCUCGUGUCGAAUGCUUCGAAAAUCCUCUGGGUUCUUUUACACUCUGUCGGGAUUGUUACAAGUCGAAAAAUUGUGAUCACAAUCACUAUGGUCGUGUCCAGUUCUUGGACAACUAUACGUUGCUUGAAUCCAAGAAAAAUUCAGCUAUGGCACAAGCAGCAGGAAUAAAUCAGAAUCAGGUUAUGAACAAAUUUAUUACUGAUAUGUCUGGGAAACAUUUAUUAUCCAUCUAUUGAAAUGAGUUGUAUAUUUGUAAGAAUAGAAGAAAAAUCACAUGAAUCAUGACUCACGAGAAGCUUACGAUAAUCAUAAGGAUCUCCUAAUUGAUGUCUUUUAUGAAUGUGAACACAUCAAAAUUCUCUUAUUUGUAACUUAGUUUCAUACAUGUCAAAAUUCACUCAUUUGUAACUUAGUUUCAUGAAGAACUAAUCAACUCAAAAAUAAUAAUAAAAAAUCUCCAAAUUGUUGUCAAAGUGGAUCCAUAGUCUAAAAUGUAAAAACUUUGGCCUCUUUUUUUUUUUCAACUGCAUAACCAUCCUUUAAUUUUUGCCCCGUUAUUAAACUCACAUAUGUUGUCAAGUAAACUUGUGUCAUCCAUCUAUUGAACUUUCCGAAAUUUUUCUUUCCAUUUUCGUGUAAUUACCAUUGAAAAAAUCGGAAAGAAUACAAUUUUUAUUUUUAGUAAACAAUCUUCCAGUUAAAUAUUUUCAUUGCUAUUUAAUCACAAUAAUUGAUGCCUUUUAAAUUUUUAAUACGUUUAGUUUUUCACAACAAUUUUUUAUUAAGUGCAACUCUGACAUGAUAUUGUCAAAGUCAAAUAGCAAACUACCUUUAAAAGAAUAUUUUACUUUGUUAUCAAACAAUGAGAUAAUAAAUAUAUUAAAAUUAAAAUCCUAUAUUGCAAGUAGCUCAAGUACAUAAUAUGGUGGGUUGAGCUCAAAGAGCAUCGUUUUUUUGGGUUUUGCUCCUAUAACAGGGAGGCUGAUUGCAUCCCUGACAGGAACCCACAGAUGGGGGGGGUCCCGCCAAAAAAACAUGGGACCUCCCCCUAUUUGUGGGGUUCGGUCAGGGAGGCAAUCAACCUCCUUGUUUUCCUAGCAAAACCCUAGUUUUUUUGCAUGAAUACCCUAAUGAAUACUUGUUUCUUGCAGCCAAAUAGUUCAAUGAGUCCACAAUCAAGAAUUCACGAAUCAGGUACGAUUGUUCCAGCAGCUGCUGCUUCUAUCAAUACUCCGAGUCAGAGCCUCAAUACAUCAAAUGCUAUUGUUCCAAUGGUUAGUAUUCGGUUUGUGUUUUUGCUAUAAAUAGGUAAGAAAAUGAGUGGUUGCUAAACUCUGUUUUUUCCCAAGAUAUCGCUUGAAUUUUUUCUAAUCCAUUUAUAAAUGUCAUGUAGAUGUAUCUUGUGACUUAUGUCCCAAUUUUUUUAAAGUGUAAAUUCAGUGACCAACUUCAAGCAAAUUUAAUUUAGUGACCACCAGCAUUUUUAACCGGUUAAAAUUAGGUAGGACAAGUUGAUUUCUUUAAAAAUUGACAAAAUUUCUGUAGGAGCAUAUUCUCACACAUGCUAUACUUAAACGUCUUUAGGAAAGUUCAAAACAAGUCUUUUGAGCAAUAUUAUUCAUCUGGUUCUCAAGAAAAUUUUGGCAGCAUUGUUUUCCUUGUUCUCAAGUAUAUAUUAGUAUUAAUUUAUUGUGCUCUUUUUUUUCUUUUCUCUCUUUUUUUUUUUAACUUAAUUCACAUUCAAGUUUUCAUAAAUAACGCGUUUACUGUAUCUGUAUACGUAUGAAACUAUAAACAUAAUUAUUUUCCCCAUUCUUAAUAUCUUAGUGUUAAUUCUGUUACUUUCAUGGAAACAACUUAAACUUGUUUGUUGUGCUGUUUUUCAAUUAGUUUACAUUCUAGUUUUCAUAAAUAAACGCGUUUACCAUACAUGAUUUGGAAAUGCAUUAAAGCGCCCAUAAACUCAUUAGAAUAUUCUUUGCAAAGUCAAUUAAUUACAGAUAAAUUAAUAGAGUCAGAUUAAUAUAUCCUCAAAACGAAAUGGGUUAUUUUAAUUGGAAACGUAAACUCCAAUAGUUUAUAAUAAAGUAAAUGAAGAUUAAAUAACUCCCCUUUUCUUGUAAUUAUCAACUUUUAACAUUAUUCAAGAAUAACGUUAGUUUGCUAUUUUAACAUUAUUCAAUCCAAGAAUUAACUUACUCAAUAAUGUUUGUGCUUUGGUCUCAAAUAAUGAGACAAAUAUUUGUCAGAUCAUAUACUCAUCACUUUUUGUCUUUGUCUUCGUCUUCGUCUUCGUCUUUUUCAUUAAUCUUAACCAUUGAAACACAUAGUUUUCACAUUAUUUAUGACCUGGUGAUUGUUGCACACGGAAUAUAUGCACCUUAGGUGUGUACGUAUGUUGAUCAUGCACUCGCGCUUUGUGUAAUGUCAUAUGCACUAGUUUAGGAUGUUUCUCCAGAACAAUACAAGGAUUCUAGAUUGAAAAAAAUGCAACCUUUUUUUUUUUUUAAUUCCUUUCUCCCUCUCAAUCAAAUUUUUUAAUGAAUGAUUGACAGCAAAGUGACUAUGAAAUUGUAAACAUUUCAUCAUAAAUAAAAGAUAGAUAGGAGAAAGUCACGUAAAACGUUACUUAACAAUAUAACAAAGAAGAAGAAGAAUAUAUUUUUUCAAUUUUUGUUUGAGUAUAUUGUAUAUCUGUUGAUAGAUUCUUAUGCUUUUGUUUUCAGAAUAAAUGGAAGGCUGCAUUCAAAGCAUUUGAAUUAGCCCUCAGUGUUGGAAGCAUCUCUACUACUUUAUGCACAAUGCUGUGACGGCAUAUACGGUUGCCAUUUUAAAAGUUCUAGAAAUCCGAUGGAAAGAACUUCAUUGCUUUCCCCUUUUACAUAUAAAAACAUUUUCAAGUAAAAUCACAGAAGGUACAUUUUUGUGUUUAUGUAAAAUGUUGCACCAAAAUGAUGCAAGUAUACCAUAAUCUUGUCAUCUAAUGUUAUUAUUCUCCAAUUUCAACCAAUUUGUAUGCAACAAAAAAAAAAAUAAUAAUAAAAAAUAAAAAUAAGUAAACGACCCUAUAAUUGAAGGAAGAGAGAAGAGAGGGGAAGAGUUAAAGAAGUGUCUUAAUGAAUUUUUCUUUUAAGUUAAUAGUAAG
rnacentral:lncRNA from 1 species